ACUGACCUGAAUUUUUUUAUAUCCAUUUCCUGAUAACUUUGUGACAAAAGAUUAGAUAUUGAGUAUAACACAAAACAAUAUGGAUGUAGCAAUCUAAACCUUUAGGAUGAUCCGUGCAUUGGCAAAUAUAUUUUCUAUUCCUUUAAAAUACGUGUAUUUAUUUUUGUGAUCUGGACUUAACAUUUUAAUCUAUUGUUAUGUUACGAGGAUCAGAGUAUAUCCCGCUAAUUGGAUCGGAUGAUGCAAGAUACACUUUGUUGGGAGUGCCCAACUUUGAAUAAUGAAGCAAAUUCUUUUUUUGAUCGAGCCGAGCUUAUAAAAAAGUGAAUUUGGAUCGAGCCGGUGAGAUAUUGAAGGAGAUUAUAUCAGUUCGAUAGAUGAUCGAGCAGGUGAAGCUUGUGACCAUGGAAGCUCAGAUGGUUGAAAAUUCUUAAGGCAUACAUGGAGAUGAGAUAUUGUAUGUUGGCGAUCGUAUAUACCCAGAUGUGAAUCAAACUGUUACCAAGGGUGAAUAGCAGCUCAUCGAAGGUGAAUGGCAAAUGACUCGGAGUUCACGGACGGUAGCUAAUGACGUAGCAUUCCAACAGCAGGCGGAUUCACCAAUGACGAUUUCUAGGAAUAUAACUGAAAGUGAUCAUGAGAUGUCAGUGGAGUGGAUGAUAGAAGUGUUUUGGAUUCAAGGGAAUUAUUGACGGUUCCGGAUAGUAACGCGGGUGAGCUGGCAGUGGUCCCCAUGAGGAAGCCAAAGGGAGCUGAGGUGGCACAACGCAGGAUUCGUCGUCCGUUUUCUGUUUUUGAAGUGGAAGCUUUAGUCAAAGUUGUUGAGAAGCUUGGAACAGGAAGAUGGCGUGAUGUUAAGUUACACGCUUUUGAUGACGCAAAGCCCUGGACUUAUGUGGACUUGAAGGCUCACUUGUAUGACAAAAUAAACGCAGCAGGAAUCACAUAUAUGACAAAUCUGUACUGUUUUGGGGCUAGAAGAAGGGAAAGAGUGCAUUAUUGUUGGAACACUCUAUAAGCAUAUGAAGCUCAAACCUACAAUUCUUAGCGAGUAUUCAAAGAGGUCUUUUCCGCAUCUGGAACUAAAAGGCUUGAAAUCUUGCCAUUUUCAUCCGGCUUGUUAACUCCAUACAUGUUUCUCCGCGUACCCGUUUUCGUUCCGCGUAUCGGAGCGAGCCGUGAUACAUAAAAAAACAACCAGUUUUUGACCAAUUAUCUGACCUGCCCAUCACCAGCCCACCUCAUUAUAAAUGGAGUUUUGUUGUACUUGAAGGCGCACUCAUGGCGCAAAGGGCGUGAGCCUUGGCCUGGAUGAAAGACGCUAAAAGCGACAUAUAUCUAAGCAAGGAUCGACUUUCGCUUGCCUUCCAUUUCGUGGGAAUCAUCUUUGGCAUACUUUGAAUCUAAAGGUUUAGAUGUGCAAGACAUGGUUACACUCUUAGGAGCACAUAUGAUGGGAAGAGUUCGAUGCAUUAACAUUCUUGAUCGCCUAUACAACUUCAACAACACUGGAAAACCCGGCCCCACAAUGGAAGAAUCUACAUUGAGUUAGUUAAGGAACGGAUGCCCUCCAAAGACAAGGCUGGGUCAACCUAACCCGCUCAUAAACUUAAACCCGAGAAACCUGGACCAUCGCUUUACCAACUCCUACUACUCGCAAGUGAUGACCAAUAAAGCUGUUUUAGGAGUCGACCAACAGCUUCACUAUGGGGGUGAUACAUAUGUUAAGCCAUGAAAAUCAAACUCUAAUUCUCUGCUGCUGAUAUAUAAGAAUUGCAAUGAGUUCUUUAAUUCUAUGUUUACAAGUUGUAUAUUGCUUCAGUUAUAAGUUUUCAAACCGGAUGAAAGUCGUCUGAAAUGUAUUAAAAUGCAUAAAACCCUCCUAAAUCCCAUAUUAAAAAAAGUUAAAUUAGUUUUGUGAUAA